rnacentral:lncRNA from 1 species
AUUAUAAUAUGGUAUUAAUAUGAAUCUAAGAGCUAAAAAGAUUAUGAUAAACGACUAAGGCUGCUACACUCUUAUGAGUAUAGAAUUUUUUUUACUCAUAAAUUUUUAGCCGUUGGAUGAAAGAAUGUGGGAUUAAGAUAAUAGUGAUCUCCGGUUAGGAUGAUAUUAGUUUUCUAAAGUUGAGUGGGUGGUUGGUUGAAUAUUAUGAUCUAACGGAUGAAAAUGAUAAAAGAGGUAGAUCUAACAGUCGAAAACUUGUGAAUAUAAAAAAGAUCUAUACUCGUAAGAGUAUAAGCUCUAUAACAAACAUUACUUAUAUAGUAUCUAUAGUAUGGUAGCUCAAUUCUAUAAGUAAGUUUAUAUAAUACAUCAUAUAUGAAUCCCG